rnacentral:lncRNA from 1 species
AUGGGGCUUCAGCGCUCAACCAGGCGCAUGCGCGGCCCUCUUUCUCCUGAAGAUUCCUCGGGUCACCUGAACGACCGCAUUUCGGCCACCUGCCCCUCCGGGUCCCUUCUCGCUCUUGAUUCCUCCAGCUGUUUCUCACCUCUGACCCCCUCCUUCUCCUUCUCCGCAGGCACUGCUAGGCCUUGCGGCGGCCGCCAGCCGACACCAAGGCUUCCACUGACACGAGCCUCUCGGCGCGGCUUCCGCUUCCGGCGAGUAUUGUGUGUCGCGCUGCGGGGCGGGGGCGGGGGGAGGAGGAAGGAGGGAGGCAGCGCUCCGGCGGCUCCGCGCCCCGCACUCCCGGACCUGAAGCCGGGAAGAUCCAUCCUGGUCCCUAACUCUGCAUACAGUUCAACUUACCCCAGGUGAGGAGACCACCUAAUUUCUAGAAAAAAGGGACAGGUUCACUAGUUGGAUUCUCUUCGGUAAAGAAAAAUCAUCUAACUCAACUUCUCUCCUAGUUGAGGAAAGAAUUCAGGUCCAAAUAAGGUAUCAGCUCCAACUCCAAAUUAAACACUUUUCAUGUGUGCCAACAACAAUAUAUACAGUAAUCAUUGUUAACCCUAUUCACCACAUGGCCACUUCUUUCUUAGCACUUCGACCUACUAAAUUUCCUUUCUUCUGUUGGAAGGGAGGGUGGAUAGAGAAAUCCAUGGUUUCAUCGAUAAAAGUGGUGAUUUUCAAGGAAGGAGUGGGGGACCAGCUUUAUAAAUCUCUUUGAUGCAUUUCCAACAUUUUGAGCCUUAACUUGAGGGAGACUUUAAUUGCCUCUUUCUCUAAUUCCCAGCCACUCCAGAACCUACUAGUUGGAGGCACAGUACAUCCAAGGUAUUAGUUAUCAGUAGCUAUUUCAAAACUCCAGUCACUGCUGAAUAUUUAGGAUAGACUUGUCAGCCUUCUUUUCAAGAAGUAUAUACUUUCAAGAAGUAUAUACUCUUUAGUGUAGUUGCCACGUAUUAAUCACUUUCAGCAGUCCUAAAUGUCUAAGUGCACUCAAAUAAAUGAGAUGUUGGGUGAAUAAUGUCAUUCCAAGAAGAAGACACACUUCCCCUAGACUACUCUAAUAAAGGGAAGAAUAAUUUCAAGUUUUCCUGAAAAGAAGAGAUUGUUACCCUUGCCUAAUAUUCCUUUUAUUACCCUUGAAACAGAGGACAAUGGCAGAGAAGCCUAUGCUCCAGGGGGCUAUUGUAAUAAAACUCUUCUGUAACAUUAAACUUUAAAAUAUAGUUAAGAAAUCUUAAUACUUGGACUUUUAUGGCAUGUUUCACUUUCCCAAGAUCCUUUCUCACUAUUAGAAAACUAUAUCUAGUAGGGAUACAAUGGUCUGCUUUUAAGAUACAUGUGUACUGAGCCUGGAUCAGAAGAAGUGUGCUGGGCUAGAGUUGAAAGAAGCCUCUAAUAAGAGAAAGCAGAGGUAAAAGACAAAAGAGAUUGGUGGUUGGGUGUCAGUUUGCUGAACAGGAAAAAAAAUUAGAUUGAUGGUUGGGAGUCACAAGGUUUGGAAAUAGAGAAACAAAAGAGAGGUUGUAUCUAGUGGAAGAGAAAAUGUAAAAUACCAAGAUGGGGCUAACUGGAGUUAGGAUUUAUCAUGGGAGUAUAUGCCAGUCCAGGGACACAAAAAAAUUAAACCUCCAACUAAUAUUUUUCUUUCUCU